rnacentral:rRNA from 1 species
UACGAAGGGGGCUAGCGUUGCUCGGAAUUACUGGGCGUAAAGCGCACGUAGGCGGUCUUUUAAGUCGGGGGUGAAAUCCUGGAGCUCAACUCCAGAACUGCCUUCGAUACUGGAAGACUUGAGUCCGGGAGAGGUGAGUGGAACUGCGAGUGUAGAGGUGAAAUUCGUAGAUAUUCGCAAGAACACCGGUGGCGAAGGCGGCCAACUGGACCAUUACUGACGCUGAGGCGCGAAAGCGUGGGGAGCAAACAGG